rnacentral:rRNA from 1 species
GACGUAGGGGCGAAGCGUUGUCCGGAAUCAUUGGGCGUAAAGAGCGCGUAGGCGGCCCGACAAGUCCGCUGUGAAAGUCAGGGGCUUAACCCUUGAAUGCCGGUGGAUACUGUCGGGCUAGAGUCCGGAAGAGGAGUGUGGAAUUCCUGGUGUAGCGGUGAAAUGCGCAGAUAUCAGGAAGAACACCUAUGGCGAAGGCAGCACUCU